AUGGUGGUAAAAAUCAGUGCUAUGUUUAGAUCCAUUUGUGUUUUUCAUUAGUAUUCUGGACUUAAUAUAGAGAGAUGUUAGAUUUUUUUAAGCUGGUGAAUUAUUUCAUUUCUCUGAAUUACUAAAUAUUUAGGAAAUUAUUUAACAGUGUAUUUAGUAGAUCAAAUGUGUGAUAUAAAAUUUCAUUGAAAUUGUCAUGUGGUUUUUAUACUGCCACUUCAAAAGUUUUUUUUAAAAAACCAAUAAAACUUUAAACUUUAAAAUAGACAUAUAGCACAUGUUGCCUAAGAGCCUAAUAACAGAUAUAAAAUAUCAUAUUUUUACUAUUUACUAUAUUUAAUGCCUAAUUUCUCUUAAUUAUUUAUUGUAUGUUAAAAUUUGAAGGAUUAUUUAUUACAAACUAAAAUACUCUUUAUAAUAUUCUACUUCAAAACCAGGUAUUUAGCACAUAAGUUCAUUCAGAACAAAUCCCAGAAAAAAAGAAAAAUCUGUUAAAGGAAUCAUUUAUAUCUUGCAUUUUUCUGUCCCUGGCCACUGAGGUAAAAUGUUUCACUCCAUAGCGCCACUGUCCCAACUUA